ensembl:miRNA oni-mir-728b oni-mir-728b
AAAUGUAGUAGACUUUAAGUAUACAUGUGGAACUGGGGAGUAUACUAAGUACACUACGUUUAU